CGAAUUAGCGUUCAGAACUGGAUGAAAUUGAACCACUUUGUGGUCCGAAAUCUGGCCAACAGCGUCCCUAUAUAUUUUUAUUUGCCAUGACAUCAAUUGCGUCGAAAUUUUCGAUGAAAAAACAAUCAAAAACCUUAUAAUAAUUAAAGUACCACCAUUGUUAAAUUUGGCAAGCUAAAACCGACAAAAUAUUGAAGAAUUUCAUAGCUUGACGAUGUAUAAAAGAGUUCCACAUCGUGGGGGAUUGCUCAGUAGAUAUCGCAAAAUGUUCAUAAAUUUCAUUAAACUCUGGGCCUUUUUGGGAUUACUUUCUU